GAUGAACGCUGGCGGCGUGCUUAACACAUGCAAGUCGAACGAUGAAGCCCAGCUUGCUGGGUGGAUUAGUGGCGAACGGGUGAGUAACACGUUAGUAACUUGCCCUUAACUCUGGGAUAAGCCUGGGAAACUGGGUCUAAUACCGGAUAGGAGCGCCUACCGCAUGGUGGGUGUUGGAAAGAUUUAUCGGUUUUGGAUGGACUCGCGGCCUAUCAGCUUGUUGGUGAGGUAAUGGCUCACCAAGGCGACGACGGGUAGCCGGCCUGAGAGGGUGACCGGCCACACUGGGACUGAGACACGGCCCAGACUCCUACGGGAGGCAGCAGUGGGGAAUAUUGCACAAUGGGCGAAAGCCUGAUGCAGCGACGCCGCGUGAGGGAUGACGGCCUUCGGGUUGUAAACCUCUUUCAGUAGGGAAGAAGCGAAAGUGACGGUACCUGCAGAAGAAGCACCGGCUAACUACGUG
rnacentral:rRNA from 1 species